rnacentral:rRNA from 1 species
GACGAACGCUGGCGGCGUGCUUAACACAUGCAAGUCGAACGGAAAGGCCCUGCUUUUGUGGGGUGCUCGAGUGGCGAACGGGUGAGUAACACGUGAGUAACCUGCCCUUGACUUUGGGAUAACUUCAGGAAACUGGGGCUAAUACCGGAUAGGAGCUCCUGCUGCAUGGUGGGGGUUGGAAAGUUUCGGCGGGUGGGGAUGGACGCGCGGCUGAUCAGCUUGUUGGUGGGGUAGGGGCUUACCAAGGCUUUGACGGGUAGGCGGCCUGAGAGGGUGACCGGCCACAUUGGGACUGAGAUACGGCCCAGACUCCUACGGGAGGCAGCAGUGGGGAAUAUUGCACAAUGGGCGGAAGCCUGAUGCAGCAACGCCGCGUGCGGGAUGACGGCCUUCGGGUUGUAAACCGCUUUCGCCUGUGACGAAGCGUGAGUGACGGUAAUGGGUAAAGAAGCACCGGCUAACUACGUG